AUGUCAUAUGCAUGGAGGAGUAUUACCCAUGGGAUUGGCCUCAUUAAAAAUGGAGUAAUUUGGCGAGUUGGAGAUGGUCAAAACAUCCGAAUCUGGGAUGACCCAUGGCUACUGAGGGCGUGGUCCAGGCAAGUGGUGACACCACGAGGGAAUAGCUUGUUAACCAGGGUGGCUGAGCUCAUUGAUCCGGGCACUGGGAAAUGGGACGAGGCCCUCAUCAGGGACACCUUUAGGGAGGAGGAUGCAGCGUUGAUCCUUCAACUACCAUUAAGGGACGAUACUGAAGAUUUCCGUGCGUGGCACUUCGAUAGCAAAGGUGUUUUCUCGGUGAAACAAGCCUAUAAGCUGCAACGGGUUAUUUCAGAACACGACGCCAUGGGGCAAGGUGGGGAGCCACAAGCUGUUGGUGAUCUUGAUGGUGGCGGUGACAUGAGGUGGAAAAGGAUAUGGAAGAUACCAUGCCCGGGGAAGAUCAGACACUUUAUGUGGAGAAUGUUGCAUAACACAAUCGCCACAAAAGACAUCCUAGCAAGAAGAGGGAUGAGCAUUGAGGAUCACCGUUGCUUCAUGUGUACAACGCGGCAUGAGACAGGGAAGCAUCUCUUUGUGGAGUGUCCCGAGGUGAAAGUGGUGUGGAGGAAGUUAGGGCUUGAACACAUCCGAGCGCAACUAGCUGACUGCGAUGUGAUUGGAGAAACCAUGGACAUUCUCUGGCGGGCCACAGAAAAGGAGAGGCUGCAGGUCAUAGUGAUGUGGUGGCAGUGGUGGACUUAGCGGAACAAAGUGCGGGAGGGGGAGAAGCCCAUGGAUCGCGAGCAGUUCAGUUAUAGGGCUACAUGCACGGCGGAGGAAUAUCUUGGGUGUUUCUGCAAAAUGGCAAAACCGUCGGCUCUCCCACAGGCAUGGGCCCCACCUCCUCCGGAUGAGCUAAAGAUCAACGUGGACGGCGCAUAUAUACCAGGCAGCCACCAUGGUGCUUGGGGUGCCAUCGUGCGUGACUCGACGGGGCAGGUGGUGGCGGCACGGGCAGGGCGGGUAGAUCACGUGGCUUCGGCCUUCGACACGGAAUUGCAUGCAGCAGAACGAGCGCUAGAGGUCGCGGCGGAGCUCGGAGUGCUGCGGCUCACGGUGGAAACGAACGCGCUCCUGGUGCAGCAAGCCUUAAGCCGCCGAGCGCCAGACUACUCCAUACAAGCCCAUGUGAUCGAUAAUGUCAAAGUGCAGGCGCGCUUGUGGUUUGCAUCUUGUGUGUUUGCUCAUUGUAAGAGGGAGGCUAAUAUGGCCGCUCAUAAUCUAGCUAAACUUGGGUUGGCUCUUGGAGUGGGAGAGGUCCUUGUACUGGAUGAUGAUUUGCCAGCUGAUAUAGCUGCGUCUGUGUUGGGUGAUUAUGCCCACAACGUGGAGUAA
rnacentral:rRNA from 1 species